GGGGCUGUAACGGUUUCGACGUUUUGACGAAAGUCAUUCUGUGAUUCAGGCCGAGAGGGAGUCUACUCUCGUUAAUCCAGGCUCAAAAACAACGUAAAUGCGAACAACAUCGUUCCUUUUGCUCGUAAAGCUGCACCUGUUGCCGCUUAAUUAGACAACCUCUAGCGAGCGUCUGUAGUCUGACUCCGUUAAGGAUUACGGACAAAACCCCAACGGAAUGCUUCAACGGGCGUCCUCGGUAGGCCCGUUGACUAAGACUUUACCGAGGCAUCCUACCGUUAGGGAUUAAGUAACGGUUCCCGCCCUAAGGAUUAGAGGGGCUACGCCUGUGAAUGAGUGGAAUGUUAAUACUCAAAGCGGACACGGGUUCGACUCCCGUCAGCUCCAUUG
rnacentral:tmRNA from 1 species